GGAUGUUAGGGCAAUCUGGCUAUGACAUCUGUCCCCAUUGAUCGCUAGGGUUGACCAGGCUGAUCUGGCUGACUGGGGGGGAGGUCCCCUUCCUCCCUCACCACUCUAUGUGUGUCCCUCCUGAAGCUACACACUCAGUCAAAGAGGACAACCCUCCCCAUAGAGGAGGACUGUUCCUUGGUCAAGGGUGUAUCAGUAGCUACUCUUCCCUGCUAGAACCUCCAACUAAGCUCUCAAAUAUAAUAACACUGAAGCAUUAGGGCGUCAACUUGUGAAGGAUACACAAACAUUCAGUUCAUGGUAGUUGGGCUGCAAACU
rnacentral:snRNA from 1 species